GAUGAACGCUGGCGGCGUGCCUAAUACAUGCAAGUCGAGCGAACGGACGAGAAGCUUGCUCCUCUGACGUUAGCGGCGGACGGGUGAGUAACACGUGGAUAACCUACCUAUAAGACUGGGAUAACUUCGGGAAACCGGAGCUAAUACCGGAUAAUAUUUUGAACCGCAUGGUUCAAUAGUGAAAGACGGUCUUGCUGUCACUUAUAGAUGGAUCCGCGCUGCAUUAGCUAGUUGGUAAGGUAACGGCUUACCAAGGCAACGAUGCAUAGCCGACCUGAGAGGGUGAUCGGCCACACUGGAACUGAGACACGGUCCAGACUCCUACGGGAGGCAGCAGUAGGGAAUCUUCCGCAAUGGGCGAAAGCCUGACGGAGCAACGCCGCGUGAGUGAUGAAGGUCUUCGGAUCGUAAAACUCUGUUAUUAGGGAAGAACAUAUGUGUAAGUAACUGUGCACAUCUUGACGGUACCUAAUCAGAAAGCCACGGCUAACUACGUG
rnacentral:rRNA from 1 species